rnacentral:rRNA from 1 species
UACAGAGGGGCAAGCGUUGUUCGGAAUUACUGGGCGUAAAGGGCGCGUAGGCGGCCUGUUAAGUCGAACGUGGAAAUCCCCGGGCUCAACCCGGGAACUGCGUCCGAUACUGGCAGGCUUGAAUCCGGGAGAGGGAUGCGGGAAUUCCCGGUGUAGCGGUGAAAUGCGGUAGAGAUCGGGAAGAACAUCGGUGGCGAAAGCGCUCUAC